GCCAUGUAUUUCUGGAGACAGUACGGUCGGUUGGUCUCCAUUUGGUUUUUCGCUGCAGGUGAGGUAAGAGCUAACUUGGGGGCUGGUUGUGUGCGCAGUCAGGAUGCAGAACAGAACUCCAGGCCAUGGCAAAAUGAAGCAGCAGGCCUAACUAUGUGUGUCAGUGGAGCAGAGCUGCAUGUAAGAAAUGCCAUGGUGAAGGAUCAUUGGUGCCUUCAAUUUUAAUAUUGUGAUACAGCUGAAGUAUUAAUGAUGGUGCUUAUUGCUGGUGUAAUCUGAGAUCCAGUGCUAAAGGCAGAGUAGACCAUGGCUAACUGAUCAAAAGUUGGAUAAAGUAUUCAUGACGGUGCUGAUUUUGUGUUCUGCAUCACAAUUGCACACAACUCCAGGCCGUGGCAAAAUGCAGCAGAAGACCUAACUAUGUGUGUCAGUGGAGCAGAGCUGCAUGUAAGAAAUGCCAUGGUAAAGGAUCAUUGGUGCCUUCAAUUAAUAUUGGGGAUACAGCUGAAGUAUUAAUGAUGGGUGCUUGUGUGCAACUAGCAAAAGGCAGCAGAACUGGCCACUGGCAAUACACCGGUGUAAAAAUACUAAUGAUGGGAAUGCUGGGGCAGAUAUGAAAACUGAAAUGGAGACGGUCUUCAAAAGAAAGUGUCAAGCUGCCUGCUUUGUUUUAUUGAUGGAUCUCGAGUUGUAUCAACCUGGCUGUCAUGCCAUUGUUUUGGCUCGGAUAUUGCUACCAGUAUUAUACAAUAAAGUAAUAAGUAUACCUUU